UAAGGAAUAUUGGACAAUGGAGGCAACUCUGAUCCAGCAACGCCGCGUGAGGGAUGAAGUAUUUCGGGUUGUAAACCUCUUUUGGCAGGGAAGAAGCGAAAGUGACGGUACCUGCAGAAAAAGCACCGGCUAACUACGUGCCAGCAGCCGCGGUGAUACGUAGGGUGCAAGCGUUGUCCGGAAUUAUUGGGCGUAAAGAGCUCGUAGGCGGUUUGUCGCGUCUGCUGUGAAAACCCGAGGCUCAACCUCGGGCCUGCAGUGGGUACGGGCAAACUAGAGUGCGGUAGGGGAGAUUGGAAUUCCUGGUGUAGCGGUGGAAUGCGCAGAUAUCAGGAGGAACACCGAUGGCGAAGGCAGAUCUCUGGGCCGUAACUGACGCUGAGGAGCGAAAGCAUGGGGAGCGAACA
rnacentral:rRNA from 1 species